rnacentral:rRNA from 1 species
AACGGUGGCUAAGACCCGAUAUGCCGCGAGGUGAAAGUAGUGAUAGCCUUGAGGGGAGCUCGCGUCUGAUUAGCUAGUUGGUGGGGUAAGAGCCUACCAAGGCGACGAUCAGUAGCUGGUCUGAGAGGACGAUCAGCCACACUGGGACUGAGACACGGCCCAGACUCCUACGGGAGGCAGCAGUGGGGAAUUUUCCGCAAUGGGCGAAAGCCUGACGGAGCAAUACCGCGUGGGGGAGGAAGGCUCUUGGGUUGUAAACUCCUUUUCUCAGGGAAGAAGGUCUGACGGUACCUGAGGAAUCAGCAUCGGCUAACUCCGUGCCAGCAGCCGCGGUAAUACGGAGGAUGCAAGCGUUAUCCGGAAUCAUUGGGCGUAAAGCGUCCGUAGGUGGCACUUCAAGUCUGCUGUCAAAGGUCGGGGCUUAACUCCGAACAGGCGGUGGAAACUGAAGCGCUCGAGUGCGGUAGGGGCAGAGGGAAUUCCUGGUGUAGCGGUGAAAUGCGUAGAGAUCAGGAAGAACACCGGUGGCGAAAGCGCUCUGCUAGGCCGCGACUGACACUGAGGGACGAAAGCUAGGGGAGCGAAUGGGAUUAGAUACCCCAGUUAGUCACCCGUUACUCUCCCU